rnacentral:rRNA from 1 species
CCUACGGGGGGCAGCAGUGGGGGAUAUUGCACAAUGGGGGAAACCCUGAUGCAGCGACGCCGCGUGUGGGAAGACGGUCUUCUGGAUUGUAAACCACUGUCCCCAGGGACGAAAAUGACGGUACCUGGGGAGGAAGCUCCGGCUAACUACGUGCCAGCAGCCGCGGUAAUACGUAGGGAGCAAGCGUUGUCCGGAAUUACUGGGUGUAAAGGGAGCGUAGGCGGGGAUGCAAGUUGGGUGUAAAAACUACCGGCUCAACCGAUAGUCGCACUCAAAACUGCAGGUCUUGAGUGAAGUAGAGGCAGGCGGAAUGACUAGUGUAGCGGUGAAAUGCGUAGAUAUUAGGCGGAACACCAGUGGCGAAGGCGGCCUGCUGGGCUUUUACUGACGCUGAGGCUCGAAAGUGUGGGGAGCAAACAGGAUUAGAUACCCCGGUAGUC